rnacentral:rRNA from 1 species
AAACUUAAAGGAAUUGACGGGAACCCGCACAAGCGGUGGAGUAUGUUGUUUAAUUCGAAGAUACACGAAGAACCUUACCAGGUCUUGACAUACCAUUGACAGGUGUAGAGAUACACUCUCCUUCGGGCAAUGGAUACAGGUGGUGCAUGGUUGUCGUCAGCUCGUGCCGUGAGGUGUUGGGUUAAGUCCCGCAACGAGCGCAACCCUCAUUGUUAGUUACUACCAUUCAGUUGAGGACUCUAAUGAGACUGCCAACGACAAGUUGGAGGAAGGUGGGGAUGACGUCAAAUCAUCAUGCCCUUUAUGACCUGGGCUACAAACGUACUACAAUGGCCAAUACAAAGAGAUGCGAAGCGGUGACGUGAAACGAACCUCAGAAAGUUGGUCUCAGUUCAGAUUGAAGUCUGCAACUCGACUUCAUGAAGGCGGAAUCGCUAGUAAUCGCGGGUCAGCAGACCGCGGUGAAUACGUUCCCGGGCCUU